rnacentral:rRNA from 1 species
UACGGAGGGUGCGAGCGUUGUCCGGAAUCACUGGGCGUAAAGGGCGCGUAGGCGGCAUGCCAAGCGUGUGGUGAAAGCCCGGGGCUCAACCCCCGGGUCGGCCGUGCGGACUGGCGUGCUCGAGCACUGUAGGGGCGGGUGGAAUUCCGGGUGGUAGCGGUGGAAUGCGUAGGAGAUCCGGAAGAACACCGGUGGCGAAGGCGGCCCGCUGGGCAGGAAGG